rnacentral:SRP_RNA from 1 species
GCUAGGUGUGGUGGUGCACGCCUGUAAUCCCAGCUACUCGGGAGGCUGAGGCAGGAGAAUCGCUUGAACCCAGGAGGCGGAGGUUGCAGUGAGCUAAGAUCACGCCACUGCACUCCAGCCUGGGUGACAGAGUAAGACUCUGUCUCAA